rnacentral:tRNA from 1 species
GGUUCCGUAGUUCAACUGGAUAGAAUGGCAGAUUCCGGUUCUGUUGGUUGGAGGUUCGAAUCCUCUCGGGAUCACUA